UGCCUUGAAGUUCAGGGCUGCUGUGCAA
rnacentral:piRNA from 1 species